rnacentral:rRNA from 1 species
CAUGGAAGAAGCUUGCUUCUUCUGAUGGCGACCGGCGCACGGGUGCGUAACGCGUAUCAAACCUGCCUCAUACUCGGGGAUAGCCUUGCGAAAGUAAGAUUAAUACCCGAGUGUUGUUAUGUUACCGCAUGGUGAUAUAACCAAAGAUUUAUCGGUAUGAGAUGGUGAUGCGUCCGAGUUAGGUAGUAGGCGGGGUAACGGCCCACCUAGCCUUCGAUCGGUAGGGGUUCUGAGAGGAAGGUCCCCCACACUGGAACUGAGACACGGUCCAGACUCCUACGGGAGGCAGCAGUGAGGAAUAUUGGUCAAUGGACGGAAGUCUGAACCAGCCAAGUAGCGUGCAGGAUGACGGCCCUCUGGGUUGUAAACUGCUUUUAGUUGGGAAUAAAAAAGAGGACGUGUCCUCUAUUGUAUGUACCUUCAGAAAAAGGACCGGCUAAUUCCGUGCCAGCAGCCGCGGUAAUACGGAAGGUCCAGGCGUUAUCCGAAUUUAUUGGGUUUAAAGGGAGCGUAGGCGGAUUAUUAAGUCAGUGGUGAAAGACGGUGGCUCAACCAUCGUUAGCCAUUGAAACUGGUAGUCUUGAGUGCAGACAGGGAUGCUGGAACUCGUGGUGUAGCGGUGAAAUGCUUAGAUAUCACGAUGAACUCCGAUCGCGAAGGCAGGUGUCCGGGCUGCAACUGACGCUGAGGCUCGAAAGUGUGGGUAUCAAACAGGAUUAGAUACCCUGGUAGUCCACACAGUAAACGAUGUAUACUCGCGGUUUGCGAUAGACAGUAAGCC